GAAAAUGUUUAGAUUGGAAAUUUCCCUUAUCGUUUGUUUUGAGUUCUCUUCUUUUAUACAUGUUAUUUUUUUUUUAAUUAGUUGCAACUCUAUACAUUUGAAGUCAUGAUUUAGAACUUUAUCUUAGAAAUGUCACUUUUUGAUAGGCCGACAUUUUAUGAUGAAAAUAAGAGUCGCAUUAAAACACUGUUUCUAGACAAGUUUGAAGCUAGUCCCAUGUACGAAUUAAAUCACAUACAAUCAAACAUCUAGUAGUUAACUUCAAAUUUACAAUUUUGUUUUUAACAUUUCAGUUGAUAUACAUGAAGGGGAACGGUCACGGUCACACGGAACUAAUUACUUUAAGGUUAAACUGAGUUGAAAAAAGUUCGUAAGAAUAGCCUUUCAAAUAGUUACAAAGAAU
rnacentral:lncRNA from 1 species